rnacentral:pre_miRNA from 1 species
GGAGCCAUGGGGAGGGAUCCCAAUUCAGCCUCAGGAAAAGAAACCUGCCAUGGGAGUCUUGGAGAUUGGCGACUGUCCUAAGGACUUA